UACGAAGGGGGCUAGCGUUGUUCGGAAUUACUGGGCGUAAAGGGCGUGUAGGCGGUACUUCAAGUCAGGCGUGAAAGCCCCGGGCUCAACCUGGGAAUGGCGAUGGAUACUGGCUCGCUAGAGUGCGGUAGAGGAGAGUGGAAUUCCCGGUGUAGCAGUGAAAUGCGUAGAGAUCGGGAGGAACAUCAGUUGCGAAGGCGGCUCUCUGGACCAGCACUGACACUGAGGCACGAAAGCGUGGGGAGCAAACAGG
rnacentral:rRNA from 1 species